UACGUAGGGUGCGAGCGUUGUCCGGAAUUAUUGGGCGUAAAGAGCUUGUAGGCGGUUUGUCGCGUCGUCUGUGAAAUUCCGGGGCUUAACUUCGGGCGUGCAGGCGAUACGGGCAAUACUUGAGUGCUGUAGGGGAGACUGGAAUUCCUGGUGUAGCGGUGAAAUGCGCAGAUAUCAGGAGGAACACCGAUGGCGAAGGCAGGUCUCUGGGCAGUUACUGACGCUGAGGAGCGAAAGCAUGGGUAGCGAACAGGAUUAGA
rnacentral:rRNA from 1 species